rnacentral:rRNA from 1 species
GCAUAUCAAUAAGCGGAGGAAAAGGAACCAACAGGGAUUGCCUCAGUAACGGCGAGUGAAGCGGCAACAGCUCAAAUUUGAAAUCUGGUCCCCUCUGGGGGCCCGAGUUGUAAUUUGAAGAGGAUGCUUUUGGCGAGGCGCCUUCCGAGUGCCCUGGAACGGGACGCCACAGAGGGUGAGAGCCCCGUAUGGUAGGACGCCGAGCCUCUGUAAAGCUCCUUCGACGAGUCGAGUAGUUUGGGAAUGCUGCUCAAAAUGGGAGGUAAACCCCUUCUAAAGCUAAAUAUUGGCCAGAGACCGAUAGCGCACAAGUAGAGUGAUCGAAAGAUGAAAAGCACUUUGAAAAGAGAGUUAAACAGCACGUGAAAUUGUUGAAAGGGAAGCGCUUGCGACCAGACUUGCGCCCGUCGGAUCAACCGUCCCUCGUGGGCGGCGCACUCCGGCGGGCUCAGGCCAGCAUCAGUUUUCCUGGGGGUAGAAAGGCGGUGGGAAUGUAGCUCUUCGGAGUGUUAUAGCCCGCCGCGUAAUGCCCUCGGGGGGACUGAGGACCGCGCGUAUGCAAGGAUGCUGGCGUAAUGGUCGUCAGCGACCCGUCUUGAAACACGGACCAAGGAGUCGUCCUAAUAUGCGAGUGUACGGGUGUAAAACCCCUGCGCGUAAUGAAAGUGAACGGAGGUGAGAGCUUCGGCGCAUCAUCGACCGAUCCUGAUGUUCUCGGAUGGAUUUGAGUAAGAGCAUAUUGGGCCGGACCCGAAAGAAGGUGAACUAUGCCUGUAUAGGGUGAAGCCAGAGGAAACUCUGGUGGAGGCUCGCAGCGGUUCUGACGUGCAAAUCGAUCGUCAAAUAUGGGCAUGGGGGCGAAAGACUAAUCGAACCUUCUAGU